CCUACGGGAGGCAGCAGUGAGGAAUAUUGGUCAAUGGACGAGAGUCUGAACCAGCCAAGUAGCGUGAAGGAUGACUGCCCUAUGGGUUGUAAACUUCUUUUAUACGGGAAUAAAAUGGUCCACGUGUGGGAGUUUGCAUGUACCAUAUGAAUAAGGACCGGCUAAGUCCGUGCCAGCAGCCGCGGUAAUACGGAGGGUCCGAGCGUUAUCCGGAUUUAUUGGGUUUAAAGGGAGCGUAGGCGGAUUGUUAAGUCAGUUGUGAAAGUUUGUGGCUCAACCGUAAGAUUGCAGUUGGAACUGGAAGUGUUGAGUGCGGUGGAGGUGGGCGGAAUUCGUGGUGUAGCGGUGAAAUGCUUAGAUAGCACGAAGAACUCCGAUUGCGAAGGCAGCUCGCUGGACUGCAACUGACGCUGAGGCUCGAAAGUGUGGGUAUCAAACAGGAUUAGAUACCCGGGUAGUC
rnacentral:rRNA from 1 species